AGGGUUUGAUCAUGGCUCAGGACGAACGCUGGCGGCGUGCUUAACACAUGCAAGUCGAGCGCAUUCAGAGGUCGGUCAUCAGAGGUCAGAAGUUAGCUAUUGUCUUUUGGUUUCAAGCUGACAGGGGUUGUGGAGUUUAGCUGUUUAAUUUAAUUUCUUUUUGCGGAUGAAGGUUUGGCAGGAUUUUUUUCUGGCUUCUGACGACCGACUUCUGAGGUGAGCGGCGGACGGGUGAGUAACGCGUGGGUGACCUGCCUGGGAGACCGGGAUAACAGUUCGAAAGGGCUGCUAAUACCGGAUGAUAUCGUUUUAUUAGGGUAAAACGAUCAAAGCGUUUAGCGCUCUCGGAUGGGCCCGCGUCCCAUUUGUUAGUUGGUAGGGUAAUGGCCUACCAAGGCUGCGAUGGGUAGCCGGUCUGAGAGGAUGGUCGGCCACACUGGGACUGAGACACGGCCCAGACUCCUACGGGAGGCAGCAGUGGGGAAUUUUGCGCAAUGGGGGGAACCUUGACGCAGCGACGCCGCGUGGGUGAUGAAGGCCUUCGGGUUGUAAAGCCCUGUUGGGGGGGAAGAUAAUGACGGUACCCCCUGAGGAAGCCCCGGCUAACUACGUGCCAGCAGCCGCGGUAAUUC
rnacentral:rRNA from 1 species